AUUGAACGCUGGCGGCAGGCCUAACACAUGCAAGUCGAGCGAGCGGCGGACGGGUGAGUAAUGUAUGGGGACUGCCCGAUAGAGGGGGAUAACUACUGGAAACGGUAGCUAAUACCGCAUACUAUCGGAUAACCCAUAUGGGAUUAGCUAGUAGGUGGGGUAAAGGCUCACCAAGGCAACGAUCCGUAGCGGGUUUGAGAGGACGACCAGCCCAACUGGGAUUGAGACACGGCCCAGACUCCUACGGAGGCAGCAGUGUGGAAUUUUGGACAAUGGGCGAAACCCUGAUCCAGCCAUCCCGCGUGUAUGAUGAAGGCCUUAGGGUUGUAAAGUAGUUUUGGCAGAGAAGCGGUAUCUGCAGAAUAAGCACCGGCUAACUACGUGCCAGCAGCCGCGGUAAUAC
rnacentral:rRNA from 1 species